rnacentral:rRNA from 1 species
CAUAGGUUAAUGAGGCGAACCGGGGGAACUGAAACAUCUAAGUACCCCGAGGAAAAGAAAUCAACCGAGAUUCCCCCAGUAGCGGCGAGCGAACGGGGAGCAGCCCAGAGCCUGAAUCAGUGUGUGUGUUAGUGGAAGCGUCUGGAAAGGCGCGCGAUACAGGGUGACAGCCCCGUACACAAAAAUGCACAUACUGUGAGCUCGAUGAGUAGGGCGGGACACGUGGUAUCCUGUCUGAAUAUGGGGGGACCAUCCUCCAAGGCUAAAUACUCCUGACUGACCGAUAGUGAACCAGUACCGUGAGGGAAAGGCGAAAAGAACCCCGGCGAGGGGAGUGAAAAAGAACCUGAAACCGUGUACGUACAAGCAGUGGGAGCACGCUUAGGCGUGUGACUGCGUACCUUUUGUAUAAUGGGUCAGCGACUUAUAUUCUGUAGCAAGGUUAACCGAAUAGGGGAGCCGAAGGGAAACCGAGUCUUAACUGGGCGUUAAGUUGCAGGGUAUAGACCCGAAACCCGGUGAUCUAGCCAUGGGCAGGUUGAAGGUUGGGUAACACUAACUGGAGGACCGAACCGACUAAUGUUGAAAAAUUAGCGGAUGACUUGUGGCUGGGGGUGAAAGGCCAAUCAAACCGGGAGAUAGCUGGUUCUCCCCGAAAGCUAUUUAGGUAGCGCCUCGUGAAUUCAUCUCCGGGGGUAGAGCACUGUUUCGGCAAGGGGGUCAUCCCGACUUACCAACCCGAUGCAAACUGCGAAUACCGGAGAAUGUUAUCACGGGAGACACACGGCGGGUGCUAACGUCCGUCGUGAAGAGGGAAACAACCCAGACCGCCAGCUAAGGUCCCAAAGUCAUGGUUAAGUGGGAAACGAUGUGGGAAGGCCCAGACAGCCAGGAUGUUGGCUUAGAAGCAGCCAUCAUUUAAAGAAAGCGUAAUAGCUCACUGGUCGAGUCGGCCUGCGCGGAAGAUGUAACGGGGCUAAACCAUGCACCGAAGCUGCGGCAGCGACGCUGAUGCGUUGUUGGGUAGGGGAGCGUUCUGUAAGCCUGUGAAGGUGUGCUGUGAGGCAUGCUGGAGGUAUCAGAAGUGCGAAUGCUGACAUAAGUAACGAUAAAGCGGGUGAAAAGCCCGCUCGCCGGAAGACCAAGGGUUCCUGUCCAACGUUAAUCGGGGCAGGGUGAGUCGACCCCUAAGGCGAGGCCGAAAGGCGUAGUCGAUGGGAAACAGGUUAAUAUUCCUGUACUUGGUGUUACUGCGAAGGGGGGACGGAGAAGGCUAUGUUGGCCGGGCGACGGUUGUCCCGGUUUAAGCGUGUAGGCUGGUUUUCCAGGCAAAUCCGGAAAA